GACGAACGCUGGCGGCGUGCCUAAUACAUGCAAGUUGAGCGCUGAAGGUUGGUACUUGUACCAACUGGAUGAGCAGCGAACGGGUGAGUAACGCGUGGGGAAUCUGCCUUUUAGCGGGGGACAACAUUUGGAAACGAAUGCUAAUACCGCAUAAAAACUUUAAACACAAGUUUUAAGUUUGAAAGAUGCAAUUGCAUCACUCAAAGAUGAUCCCGCGUUGUAUUAGCUAGUUGGUGAGGUAAAGGCUCACCAAGGCGAUGAUACAUAGCCGAGCUGAGAGGGUGGUCGACCACAUUGGGAAUGGGACACGGCCCAAACUCCUAAGGGAAGCAGCAGUAGGGAAUCUUCGGAAAAGGACGGAAGGCUGACCGAGCAAAGACGCGUGAGUGAAGAAGGGUUUCGGAUCGUAAAACUCUGUUGGUAGAGAAGAAAGUUGGUGAGAGUGGAAAGCUCAUCAAGUGACGGUAACUACACAGAAAGGGACGGCUAACUACGUG
rnacentral:rRNA from 1 species